rnacentral:rRNA from 1 species
AGCGUACACGGUGGAUGCCCUGGCAGUCAGAGGCGAUGAAGGACGUGCUAAUCUGCGAUAAGCGUCGGUAAGGUGAUAUGAACCGUUAUAACCGGCGAUUUCCGAAUGGGGAAACCCAGUGUGAUUCGUCACACUAUCAUUAACUGAAUCCAUAGGUUAAUGAGGCGAACCGGGGGAACUGAAACAUCUAAGUACCCCGAGGAAAAGAAAUCAACCGAGAUUCCCCCAGUAGCGGCGAGCGAACGGGGAGCAGCCCAGAGCCUGAAUCAGUGUGUGUGUUAGUGGAAGCGUCUGGAAAGGCGCGCGAUACAGGGUGACAGCCCCGUACACAAAAAUGCACAUGCUGUGAGCUCGAUGAGUAGGGCGGGACACGUGGUAUCCUGUCUGAAUAUGGGGGGACCAUCCUCCAAGGCUAAAUACUCCUGACUGACCGAUAGUGAACCAGUACCGUGAGGGAAAGGCGAAAAGAACCCCGGCGAGGGGAGUGAAAAAGAACCUGAAACCGUGUACGUACAAGCAGUGGGAGCACGCUUAGGCGUGUGACUGCGUACCUUUUGUAUAAUGGGUCAGCGACUUAUAUUCUGUAGCAAGGUUAACCGAAUAGGGGAGCCGAAGGGAAACCGAGUCUUAACUGGGCGUUAAGUUGCAGGGUAUAGACCCGAAACCCGGUGAUCUAGCCAUGGGCAGGUUGAAGGUUGGGUAACACUAACUGGAGGACCGAACCGACUAAUGUUGAAAAAUUAGCGGAUGACUUGUGGCUGGGGGUGAAAGGCCAAUCAAACCGGGAGAUAGCUGGUUCUCCCCGAAAGCUAUUUAGGUAGCGCCUCGUGAAUUCAUCUCCGGGGGUAGAGCACUGUUUCGGCAAGGGGGUCAUCCCGACUUACCAACCCGAUGCAAACUGCGAAUACCGGAGAAUGUUAUCACGGGAGACACACGGCGGGUGCUAACGUCCGUCGUGAAGAGGGAAACAACCCAGACCGCCAGCUAAGGUCCCAAAGUCAUGGUUAAGUGGGAAACGAUGUGGGAAGGCCCAGACAGCCAGGAUGUUGGCUUAGAAGCAGCCAUCAUUUAAAGAAAGCGUAAUAGCUCACUGGUCGAGUCGGCCUGCGCGGAAGAUGUAACGGGGCUAAACCAUGCACCGAAGCUGCGGCAGCGACGCUUAUGCGUUGUUGGGUAGGGGAGCGUUCUGUAAGCCUGUGAAGGUGUACUGUGAGGUAUGCUGGAGGUAUCAGAAGUGCGAAUGCUGACAUAAGUAACGAUAAAGCGGGUGAAAAGCCCGCUCGCCGGAAGACCAAGGGUUCCUGUCCAACGUUAAUCGGGGCAGGGUGAGUCGACCCCUAAGGCGAGGCCGAAAGGCGUAGUCGAUGGGAAACAGGUUAAUAUUCCUGUACUUGGUGUUACUGCGAAGGGGGGACGGAGAAGGCUAUGUUGGCCGGGCGACGGUUGUCCCGGUUUAAGCGUGUAGGCUGGUUUUCCAGGCAAAUCCGGAAAAUCAAGGCUGAGGCGUGAUGACGAGGCACUACGGUGCUGAAGCAACAAAUGCCCUGCUUCCAGGAAAAGCCUCUAAGCAUCAGGUAACAUCAAAUCGUACCCCAAACCGACACAGGUGGUCAGGUAGAGAAUACCAAGGCGCUUGAGAGAACUCGGGUGAAGGAACUAGGCAAAAUGGUGCCGUAACUUCGGGAGAAGGCACGCUGAUAUGUAGGUGAAGUCCCUCGCGGAUGGAGCUGAAAUCAGUCGAAGAUACCAGCUGGCUGCAACUGUUUAUUAAAAACACAGCACUGUGCAAACACGAAAGUGGACGUAUACGGUGUGACGCCUGCCCGGUGCCGGAAGGUUAAUUGAUGGGGUCAGCGCAAGCGAAGCUCUUGAUCGAAGCCCCGGUAAACGGCGGCCGUAACUAUAACGGUCCUAAGGUAGCGAAAUUCCUUGUCGGGUAAGUUCCGACCUGCACGAAUGGCGUAAUGAUGGCCAGGCUGUCUCCACCCGAGACUCAGUGAAAUUGAACUCGCUGUGAAGAUGCAGUGUACCCGCGGCAAGACGGAAAGACCCCGUGAACCUUUACUAUAGCUUGACACUGAACAUUGAGCCUUGAUGUGUAGGAUAGGUGGGAGGCUUUGAAGUGUGGACGCCAGUCUGCAUGGAGCCGACCUUGAAAUACCACCCUUUAAUGUUUGAUGUUCUAACGUUGACCCGUAAUCCGGGUUGCGGACAGUGUCUGGUGGGUAGUUUGACUGGGGCGGUCUCCUCCUAAAGAGUAACGGAGGAGCACGAAGGUUGGCUAAUCCUGGUCGGACAUCAGGAGGUUAGUGCAAUGGCAUAAGCCAGCUUGACUGCGAGCGUGACGGCGCGAGCAGGUGCGAAAGCAGGUCAUAGUGAUCCGGUGGUUCUGAAUGGAAGGGCCAUCGCUCAACGGAUAAAAGGUACUCCGGGGAUAACAGGCUGAUACCGCCCAAGAGUUCAUAUCGACGGCGGUGUUUGGCACCUCGAUGUCGGCUCAUCACAUCCUGGGGCUGAAGUAGGUCCCAAGGGUAUGGCUGUUCGCCAUUUAAAGUGGUACGCGAGCUGGGUUUAGAACGUCGUGAGACAGUUCGGUCCCUAUCUGCCGUGGGCGCUGGAGAACUGAGGGGGGCUGCUCCUAGUACGAGAGGACCGGAGUGGACGCAUCACUGGUGUUCGGGUUGUCAUGCCAAUGGCACUGCCCGGUAGCUAAAUGCGGAAGAGAUAAGUGCUGAAAGCAUCUAAGCACGAAACUUGCCCCGAGAUGAGUUCU